GGUUUUUUGAAAUGUAUAGUAUUGUAUAUAAGUGUGAUGAAAAAUCUAACCUGCUCUAUGUAAGAUAUAAAUGGCCGCGGUAUUUUGACUGUGCUAAGGUAGCAUAAUAAUUAGUUUUUUAAUUAGAGACUAGUAUGAAUGGUUGGACGAGGGGGUGUCUGUUUUUAAAGUAAUAUGAAUAUUUGAAGUUAAUUAUGUUGUGAAAAGGCAACUGUGUUAUUGAGGGACGAGAAGACCCUAUCAAGUUUUACAAAAAUUGGCUUUGUAAAUAUAUAAAAUAUUAGUUGGUGAUAUUUAUUAGGUUUAUUUUGUUUGGCUGGGGUGGUCUUGAUAGAGUUAUAUCUUUUAUAAAUAAUUAUGAGUUAUUGAUUAAAUUACAUUGACCCAAUGGGAGAUAUUGAUUGUUGGAUUAAAUUACUGUAGGGAUAACAGCGUAAUAUUGUUGGAGAGUUCAUAUUGAUAACAAAUUUUGCGACCUCGAUGUUGAAUAAAAUGUCUGUUUGGUGAAGAAGCUAAAUUAAGAUAGUCUGUUCGACUAGUAAGUUUUUACA
rnacentral:rRNA from 1 species